AUGGGAAUUUUGGGGGUUUUUUUCCUCCAUUUUGGGAUUUUUUAUCAAUUUUGGGGUUUUUUUUCCUCCAUUUUGGGGUUUUUUUCCUCAAUUUGGGAGGUUUUCCCCCAAUUUUGGGGGGUCACCACUUCCUGCCUCCCCAAAAAUGGGAAUUUUUGGGGUUUUUUUUCCUCCCUUUUCAGAGGUCACCACUUUCUGUCCCCCCAAAAAAGGGAUUUUGGGGUGGAUCACCACUUCGUGCCCCCCAAAAAUGGGAAUUUUGGGUUUUUUCCCCAAAUUUUGGGGGGCUCACCACUUUGUGCCCCCCAAAAAUGGGAAUUUUGGGUUUUUUCCCCAAAUUUUGGGGGGCUCACCACUUUGUGCCCCCCAAAAAUGGGAAUUUUGAGUUUUUCCCCAAUUUUGGGGUGUCACCACUUCCUGCCCACCCAAAAAUGGGAAUUUUGGGGUUUUUUCCCCAAUUUUGGGGAGAGUCACCACUUUGUGCCCCCCAAAAAUGGGAAUUUUGGGGUUUUUUCCCCAAAUUUUGGGGGGUCACCACUUCCUGCCCACCCAAAAAUGGGAAUUUUGGGGUUUUUUCCCCAAAUUUUGGGGGGUCACCACUUCCUGCCCACCCAAAAAUGGGAAUUUUGGGGUUUUUUCCCCCAAUUUUGGGGGUUUCCACAAAAAUGGGAAUUUUGGGUUUUUUCCCCCAAUUUUGGGGGGUCACCUCUCGCUGUCCCCCCUCUUUUUGUCACCUCCUCGUCCCCUCCUGCCCCUCCCGGGGGGGUCCCAGACCCCUCCCCAAAAUCCGCUCCGACCUCGGCGCCCUCCCGACCUCCCCCUGCCCUCCUCUGCCCCCCCCAAAAUUUGGGGGUGCUCGUGACCCCCCCAAAAUUGGGGUCGGGGGUCCCGAUGCCUCUGACCCCCCAAAAUUGGGGUGAGGGGGGUCUCAGGAAUUCUGACCCCCCCCAAAUUUGGGGUGUGUGGGGGGGGUCUCCGUCCCUGUCACGGACCCCCCCUCAAAUUGGGGACCCCAAAAUUUAAGGUUGGGGGGGGCUGAGACCCCCAAAUUGGGGUGGGGGUCUCCCUGUGACCCCAAAAUUUAAUCGGGGGGGUUUUCUAAAUAAUUCUGACACCCCCAAAUUGCGGUGGGGAGUCCCUGUGACCCCAAAAUUUAGGGUGGGGGGGGGUCUGAGACCCCCAAAUUGGGGUGGGGGUCUCCCUGUGACCCCAAAA
rnacentral:lncRNA from 1 species